UACGUAGGUGGCAAGCGUUGUCCGGAUUUAUUGGGUUUAAAGGGUGCGUAGGCGGUCUUAUAAGUCAGUGGUGAAAUACGGCAGCUCAACUGUCGAGGUGCCAUUGAUACUGUAGGACUGAGUACAGACGAGGUAGGCGGAAUUGACGGUGUAGCGGUGAAAUGCUUAGAUAUCGUCAAGAACACCGAUAGCGAAGGCAGCUUACUAGGCUGUAACUGACGCUGAGGCACGAAAGUGUGGGGAUCAAACAGG
rnacentral:rRNA from 1 species